rnacentral:rRNA from 1 species
AUUGAACGCUGGCGGCAGGCUUAACACAUGCAAGUCGAGCGAGCGGCGGACGGGUGAGUAAUGUAUGGGAAACUGCCUGAUGGAGGGGGAUCACUACUGGAAACGGUAGCUAAUACCGCAUACUAUCAGAUGUGCCCAUAUGGGAUUAGCUAGUAGGUGGGGUAAUGGCUCACCUAGGCGACGAUCUCUAGCUGGUAUGAGAGGAUGAUCAGACACACUGGAACUGCGACACGGUCCAGACUCCUACGGGAGGCAGCAGUGGGGAAUAUUGCACAAUGGGCGCAAGCCUGAUGCAGCCAUGCCGCGUGUGUGAAGAAGGCCUUCGGGUUGUAAAGCACUUUCAGCGAGGAGGCGUUACUCGCAGAAGAAGCACCGGCUAACUCCGUGCCAGCCGCCGCGGUAAUUC